rnacentral:rRNA from 1 species
UACAGAGGUCUCAAGCGUUGUUCGGAUUCAUUGGGCGUAAAGGGUGCGUAGGCGGCGCGGUAAGUCGGGUGUGAAAUCUCGGAGCUUAACUCCGAAACUGCAUUCGAUACUGCCGUGCUUGAGGACUGGAGAGGAGACUGGAAUUUACGGUGUAGCGGUGAAAUGCGUAGAUAUCAGGAGGAACACCGGUGGCGAAGGCGGGUCUCUGGGCAGUAACUGACGUGAGGAGCGAAAGCGUGGGGAGCGAACAGG